rnacentral:miRNA from 1 species
AUACUUAUUCCGCUUCUGGCAGA